rnacentral:rRNA from 1 species
UACGUAGGGACCGAGCGUUGUCCGGAAUCAUUGGGCGUAAAGAGCGUGUAGGCGGCCAGGUAGGUCUGGUGUGAAAACUCGAGGCUUAACCUCGAGAUGUCAUCGGAAACCAUCUGGCUAGAGUCCGGAAGAGGAGAGUGGAAUUCCUGGUGUAGCGGUGAAAUGCGCAGAUAUCAGGAAGAACACCAAUGGCGAAAGCAGCUCUCUGGGACGGUACUGACGCUGAGACGCGAAAGCGUGGGGAGCGAACAGG